rnacentral:tRNA from 1 species
GUUGUUUUGGCAGAUUAGUGCAAUUGAUUUAGAAUCUUUAAAUGUAUUAUUAAUACAGAUAACA